UUAUGGCCAUAUCACAUUGAAACAUUGGUUCACCCUAUAUUCACCAAAAUUAAGGAACAUUGAGCCUGGUCAGUACUUAGAUGGGUGACCACUUGGGAAUACCAGGUGCUGUAA